rnacentral:piRNA from 1 species
UCCAAAGAAAGUAGGACAAUG